GUUUCCUUUGGCACACUGCAGGCGUGGCUCAUUCCAGAGCAUGGGUGGUUUGAAGGAGGGUGGGGGGUGCAGGGGGUGAGGGAGGUGGGUGGUGGCAGGGGCAGGGGCAGGAGAUUCGAGAGACCCACCGAUCUGACCUUGAACUGCGGGACGUGGGGCUGAAAGAGUGGCACCAUGUUCCAAAAGCUGUGGUGUGCAGCCACUGCUGCCAAAAAACGGUAUAUGGUGGAACUGAAUGUACCCGUGGGGGCCAGUAUAGCUCUCUGAGCCACUCCAGCUGCUGCAGGGGUGACAGAGGCUAAAACCGGCUGAGGCUUAGGGGCAGCUGCUCUCAGAGUGAAGCUCACACUGAAGAAGAAGAAGAAGAAGAACAAGAACCUUCUAAAGCUGGAGUCAACAACCAGCAGCUAUGUCUCUGCGAGCACACACAAACCUCUUUAAAAGUAUUGUUUGAGUGAGGCCCGUGCCUUGGACAAGGACACACUGUUAAUAGGAGAGAUAAUGGGAGUAUAGUGCCUGUGCAUCAUCUGGUUACCAAGGUUCCCUCCUUCAGCUGAUUUAACAAUUUGUAUCUUUUACUCUUUAUUACAUCUCAGCAGUGAUACAGACUGUUUAUGUAUAUCGUGUUAUUACCAUAUCACUCUCGCAUAUCUAUUGACUUACUUACACCACACUUUGCGCCUGCUUUGUAAUGCCUACUUAAUCUGCACUUUAUGUAUUCUAUUACUUG